ACUUAUGUGGCCAAUACAGUAGAUUAUGUUUUGAUUAGGUCACUAAUUGAUUCGAGCUGACCCAUGCCAUUAAGGUAAAUCUGUGUGAUUGAUUUCAGUGUCUCUAAACCAGAUUUGACUUUUGUCCUCUUUAUGACUUGGUGAAGUCAGUGGAAGGAUUUAUAUCUUGUCGGUUAAUUUUUUUUCUUAUUCUCAAAUCAUUAAAUCAAUUUGACUG
rnacentral:lncRNA from 1 species